GGCUCUGUGGUGAAGUUCAUGUUGAGUUGCAAGCUCAUCGAUGCACAGUGAAAGUGUGCCAGAGUCU
rnacentral:tRNA from 1 species